rnacentral:tRNA from 1 species
ACAAGAAUAGCUCGGCAGAGCAUGAGACUCUUAAUCUCAGGGUUGUGGGUUUGACCCCCACAUUGGA